CAGUCGCCGCGGGAAUACAAAGGGUGCGAGCGUUAAUCGGAUUUACUGGGCGUAAAGCGUGCGUAGGCGGCUUUUUAAGUCGGAUGUGAAAUCCCUGAGCUUAACUUAGGAAUUGCAUUCGAUACUGGGAAGCUAGAGUAUGGGAGAGGAUGGUAGAAUUCCAGGUGUAGCGGUGAAAUGCGUAGAGAUCUGGAGGAAUACCGAUGGCGAAGGCAGCCAUCUGGCCUAAUACUGACGCUGAGGUACGAAAGCAUGGGGAGCAAACAGGAUUAGAUACCCCCGUAGUCCCUGUCUCUUAUAC
rnacentral:rRNA from 1 species